ACUGAGGGAUUGGACCCAGGUCUCUUACAUUGCAGAUAGAUUUUUUUUUUUUUAAACCAUCUGAGCCUCCAGGGAAUCCCCUUCAGCUGCAAGAAUUUCCCCCCACCCCUUCCUCCUCUCCACCUUCUUCAUGGCACCAGUUUCCACACACUUCAAAGCAUGAAGUCAGGAAACCAUGGAAAAUCACAGGAGACCAGGUGAUCAUAGCAAAGUCUGCUUGAUGGCUGAAAGCACUGGCGUGAGCUUCUCUGACUUCAAAGCUGAAGACACGGCACAAACUGGCUGGUCAUAUUCUUCGUUUUACAAACCAUGGUGGUUGGUAUAGAGGACUAGAGCUGCGAGGACUUUGUAUUUCCCCAACCGGAUGACUUCUUCCCAGUCACAUCAGCAGCUAAAUUUACCGAAGGACGAGAUGGUUGGAUGGCAUCACCGACUCAAUGGCUGGCUCUGGAAGAUGGCGAAGUACUGGGAAGCCUGGCGUGCUGUGUCCAUGGGGUCGCAAGGAGUCGGACAAGACUGAGCGACUGAACAACAAUUUACACGGUUAACCCCUAACGCUGAACCGGCCCUUAAAGACCUUGUCUCUGACUUGUUAGUUACUACGACCUGUGGAGGAUGGGGAAGGAUCCCUGUUUUUCAAAGAAAACCAAGAGUCCUUCAUGACACCUCACUCUGACCUUCUCACCUGGCCCCCAGCUGCGUCCCCUGCCCAUCCCCCACCCUAGACCCCCCCCCCCCAACCCGCCCAGAACCCCCACCCCAAGCCUCCACUCCUGGAAUACUCAUCACCUCGGCAGAGGACCCGCAGGGAUAGCCCCAGGUUUUAGGUUGUGAACCCCAAAAGUGGGAGAAUUAAAAACCUCUGCUCCCAGGGUUUGUCUCUUCUGAACAGUUUCCCUGAUUGUUAAACGAAGGACCUGGGGGUCGAGGACUGGUCUGUUUAAACAGACGCCCUUUUAUCUGCUUCACACCCCCUCCCGCAGGGCCGCCUUCGCAAGUUAUCCGAGUGUCAUUAAGGGGGACAGCUGCUGGUAAACAAGGCGGGGAUGUCGACGCCAGGGCCUCGGUCAACAGAAAUUUCACUUUAAUCUGUCCCUUGCCUCAAGAAACAUCCCUCUCUUUCUCCCUCCGCCGCGCAUCAUUUAUUUAUCUCCGUCAACGAGCAGAUAGAAGGCUGGCAUCGACUCCGGAAAGCCCGCUGGGAUAGAAAAUUAACAAGGUGCGAGGGACAUUCACCUUAGGUCAAUUCGAGGGGACGCGGAGAGCAAAGAGAAUUUGCCCGGGAGUUCCCCACUUAACUGGAACCCGAUCCUACAUAUUUAUAAAGGUGAAACUGGAGGGCUGCCAAGCGCCUGCAUUUAAGUGAUUAACAAAUGUUUCCCUUUAAGUGG
rnacentral:lncRNA from 1 species